rnacentral:rRNA from 1 species
AGGAUGAACGCUGGCGGUAUGCUUAACACAUGCAAGUCGAACGGGGUCUUUCGGGAUCUAGUGGCGGACGGGUGAGUAACGCGUGAGAAUCUGCCUACAGGACUGGGACAACAGCUGGAAACGGCUGCUAAGACCGGAUGUGCCGAGAGGUGAAAUAUUUAUAGCCUGUAGAUGAGCUCGCGUCUGAUUAGCUA